AACGAACGCUGGCGGCAUGCCUAACACAUGCAAGUCGAACGAACCCUUCGGGGUUAGUGGCGCACGGGUGCGUAACACGUGGGAAUCUGCCCUUUGCUUCGGAAUAACAGUUAGAAAUGACUGCUAAUACCGGAUGAUGUCGCAAGACCAAAGAUUUAUCGGCAAAGGAUGAGCCCGCGUAGGAUUAGCUAGUUGGUGGGGUAAAGGCCUACCAAGGCGACGAUCCUUAGCUGGUCUGAGAGGAUGAUCAGCCACACUGGGACUGAGACACGGCCCAGACUCCUACGGGAGGCAGCAGUGGGGAAUAUUGGACAAUGGGCGAAAGCCUGAUCCAGCAAUGCCGCGUGAGUGAUGAAGGCCUUCGGGUUGUAAAGCUCUUUUACCAGGGAUGAUAAUGACAGUACCUGGAGAAUAGGCUCCGGCUAACUCCGUGCCAGCAGCCGCAGUAACAC
rnacentral:rRNA from 1 species